rnacentral:rRNA from 1 species
GACGAACGCUGGCGGCGUGCCUAAUACAUGCAAGUCGAGCGCAGGAAACUGACGGAACUCUUCGGAGGGAAGGCAGUGGAAUGAGCGGCGGACGGGUGAGUAACACGUAAGGAACCUGCCUCAAGGAUUGGGAUAACUCCGAGAAAUCGGAGCUAAUACCGGAUAGUUCAACGGACCGCAUGGUCCGCUGAUGAAAGGCGCUCCGGCGUCACCUUGAGAUGGCCUUGCGGUGCAUUAGCUAGUUGGUGGGGUAACGGCCCACCAAGGCGACGAUGCAUAGCCGACCUGAGAGGGUGAUCGGCCACACUGGGACUGAGACACGGCCCAGACUCCUACGGGAGGCAGCAGUAGGGAAUCUUCGGCAAUGGACGAAAGUCUGACCGAGCAACGCCGCGUGAAUGAAGAAGGCCUUCGGGUUGUAAAAUUCUGUUAUAAGGGAAGAAAGACACGAGUAGGAAAUGGCUCGUGAGUGACGGUACCUUAUGAGAAAGCCACGGCUAACUACGUGCCAGCAGCCGCCGUAAUAC